rnacentral:rRNA from 1 species
UUGCACGCUGGCGGCAUGCUUUACACAUGCACGUCGCACGGCAGCGGGGAGGAGCUUGCUUCUCUGCCGGCGAGUGGCGAACGGGUGAGUAAUACAUCGGAACGUGUCGAGAAGAGGGGGAUAACCACCCGAAAGGGUGGCUAAUACCGCAUAAAUUCUGAGGAAGAAAGCUGGGGACCUGGGAAUAGGCCUAGCGCUUUUUGAGCGGCCGAUGUCGGAUUAGCUAGUUGGUGAGGUAAAGGCUCACCAAGGCGAAGAUCUGUAGCGGGUCUGAGAGGAUGAUCCGCCACACUGGGACUGAGACACGGCCCAGACUCCUACGGGAGGCAGCAGUGGGGAAUUUUGGACAAUGGGGGCAACCCUGAUCCAGCCAUGCCGCGUGUAUGAAGAAGGCCUUAGGGUUGUAAAGUACUUUUGUUAGGGAAGAAAAGUCAGCUGUGAAUAAUGGCUGAUACUGACGGUACCUAAAGAAUAAGCACCGGCUAACUACGUG